rnacentral:rRNA from 1 species
AACAAGGUUUCCGUAGGUGAACCUGCGGAAGGAUCAUUAUCGUAGGGCUUUUGUCCUGUCGAGAUAGCGUCCUUGCCUAUUUUUUGGAGCACCGUUCGUUUCCUCAGCAGGCUUGCCUGCUACUGGGGACCCCUCAAACUCUUUGUAAAUACAGUAAUCGUCUGAAAAACAAACAAAAAAUCAAAACUUUCAACAAUGGAUCUCUUGGUUCUGGCAUCGAUGAAGAACGCAGCAAAAUGCGAUAAGUAGUGUGAAUUGCAGAAUUCAGUGAAUCAUCGAAUCUUUGAACGCACAUUGCGCCCUUUGGUAUUCCUUAGGGCAUGCCUGUUCGAGCGUCAUUUACACCCUCAAGCACAGCUUGGUGUUGGGCGUCUGUCCCGCUUCGGCGCGGACUCGCCUCAAAACGAUUGGCAGCCACUUCAGCGGCUUUGAGCGCAGCAGAAUUGCGUCUCUCGUCGCGGCGGGUGGCAUCCAGUAAGCAACAUUUAUAUCUUGACCUCGGAUCAGGUAGGGAUACCCGCUGAACUUAAGCAUAUCAAUAAGCGGAGGAAAAGAAACCAACAGGGAUUGCCCUAGUAACGGCGAGUGAAGCGGCAACAGCUCAAAUUUGAAAUCUGGCCUCUUUGGGGGUCCGAGUUGUAAUUUGCAGAGGGUGCUUUGGCGUUGGCUGUGGUCUAAGUUCCUUGGAACAGGACGUCGCAGAGGGUGAGAAUCCCGUAUGUGGCCGCCAGUCUUCGCCGUGUAAAGCCCCUUCGACGAGUCGAGUUGUUUGGGAAUGCAGCUCUAAAUGGGAGGUAAAUUUCUUCUAAAGCUAAAUAUUGGCCAGAGACCGAUAGCGCACAAGUAGAGUGAUCGAAAGAUGAAAAGCACUUUGGAAAGAGAGUCAAAAAGCACGUGAAAUUGUUGAAAGGGAAGCGCUUGCAGCCAGACUUGCUUGCAGUUGUUCAGCCGGGCUCUUGCCCGGUCUACUCUUCUGCUCGCAGGCCAGCAUCAGUCCGGGCGGUUGGAUAAAGGCCUAUUAAACGUACCUCCCCUCGGGGAGGACUUAUAGGGUAGGCGACAUGCAACCAGCCCGGAUUGAGGUCCGCGCAUCUGCUAGGAUGCUGGCGUAAUGGCUGUAAGCGGCCCGUCUUGAAACACGGACCAAGGAGUCUAACAUCUAUGCGAGUGUUUGGGUGUCAAGCCCGAGCGCGUAAUGAAAGUGAACGGAGGUGGGAACCUUUCGGGGUGCACCAUCGACCGAUCCUGAUGUCUUCGGAUGGAUUUGAGUAAGAGCAUAGCUGUUGGGACCCGAAAGAUGGUGAACUAUGCCUGAAUAGGGUGAAGCCAGAGGAAACUCUGGUGGAGGCUCGCAGCGGUUCUGACGUGCAAAUCGAUCGUCAAAUUUGGGCAUAGGGGCGAAAGACUAAUCGAACUAUCUAGUAGCUGGUUCCUGCCGAAGUUUCCCUCAGGAUAGCAGUAACGUUUUCAGUUUUAUGAGGUAAAGCGAAUGAUUAGAGGCCUGGGGGUUGAAACAACCUUCACCUAUUCUCAAACUUUAAAUAUGUAAGAAGUCCUUGUUACUUGAUUGAACGUGGACAUUUGAAUGUAUCGUUACUAGUGGGCCAUUUUUGGUAAGCAGAACUGGCGAUGCGGGAUGAACCGAACGCGGAGUUAAGGUGCCAGAAUACACGCUCAUCAGACACCACAAAAGGUGUUAGUUCAUCUAGACAGCAGGACGGUGGCC